AAAACAUGGAACCGUCCCUGUGAUAAAAGACCACAUUCAUGGUUGGGGUGGUCAUGUGACUUGUCUUGGCUGUCAUGUGUCAGGUGAGGUCCCAUUUCUACCAGAAGACCAAACCAUGUGGACAAGGGUUUUCUGAGUGCGCACAUCUGAAGCACAUGGACGGAAAGUGGCUGUCACAGCAUAUUCAGAGAUGUUCUCCGGAGCUCAAACCUGUGGAGAGAAGAGAGAAGACUGACCUUUGUCCUCAUGAAUUCAGGGGAAAGAAUGACUUCCAAAAGUGCAGGUUCU